rnacentral:rRNA from 1 species
UCGCCCUGUUUUUUCAAAAACAUGUCCCCUUGGAUAAAGUAAGGGGUCAGGCCUGCUCACUGAUAAAUUUGUUAUUAAAGAGCUGCGGUAUAUUGACCGUACAAAGGUAGCAUAAUCAUUAGUUUUUUAAUUGAAAACUUGUAUGAAUGGUUCGACAAAACAAGUGCUGUCUCUAUUAUUAAAUUAAAACUUAACCUUUAAGUGAAAAGGCUUAAAUAUGUCAAAGGGACGAUAAGACCCUAUAAAGCUUUAUUUUUAAAGUCUGUUUUUAAAAAUUUAUAUAAUCUUUAAAUUAGACUAAAUUGAUUAGUUGGGGCGACAAAUAAAUAAAUUGUUUAACUUUAUUUAAAUUAAACAUACAUGUAUGAAGGGUUAAUAGAUCUUUAAUAAAGAUUUCUAGCAAAGUUACUUUAGGGAUAACAGCGUAAUUUUUUUUGAGAGUUCAUAUCGAAAAAAGAGAUUGCGACCUCGAUGUUGAAUUAAAAUGUCUAUUUAGGUGCAGCCGCCAAAUAAGAAGGUCUGUUCGCCUUUUU